rnacentral:lncRNA from 1 species
UGUACUGCUUUCGCUAGCAAACGCCAGUGCUUGCAUUUGAUUGGUCUAACGGCGUUUCUUUUGCUAAUUGAGAACACUCUUCAGUUUUAUUUUUGUUUCUGUGUAUUUUGUUGAUUUUGUUGUCGGAUUUGGUGGUAUUAGGCAAGGUAUUAGGCAUUAUUCAGUCACACAGUUCCCGUGGUAUUAUGGCUCAUUGCUGGCAGUGGUUCAGGAGACAGUCGUUCGAUUCCAGCUGUAGAACGUCACCUGCAGGAAGUAGCAUUAUGAUGGCCAGCCACGUGGCGCUUGUAUCCAGCCACAUUGUCCAGAAACCAUCACAUCAUCUCCAGGUCACUGGUCGCGGGUGCUCGAGCUGACUGUGUCUUCAACGGCUCCACGGUGACCAGCGCCGCCACCGCCGAGACCAUCCGAUUCCUGAAAUGAUAAUGGCCGUACACGAACAAGAGGCUCUAUGCAUCUAGUUGCGAGUCAAGCGCCAUGCUCAGAGGCGUCAUCCGGAGAAGGCCGCACAGUGCACUUUAGGCUGAGCUCUGGUGUAGUGCGCGCUGACGGAUAGGAUGAAAUUACGGGCCGGCCAUCAGAUUUCAGUGCGGGGAUCAAGAUGGUCGGAGCCGACGUGGCUUGGUUGAUGGUGUGUCAGGGACCAGGGUUGAUUGAAAGUGGAGGCGAGACGACCAAAUGUGAAGGAUACACCGAUACGGGUCUCGACGUCGUCUCGCAAUUUGUGCUAUGUAAUAUGACGGUUAUGCCGUGGUAUCAUUCACUCUCGAUGCGCUAAUAUGUAGUAAAUAGGACAGAGACUGGAAUUAAUAUUAUUAUAUUUGGAUGUAAGGGCCAGGUUUUGACCAGCGCUAUAUUAGAAAUCGUGAGCGUGCUAGUUGCAAUCAAUCGCGCGCUUCUUGCUGAGCAUCUGUGAGCGAAAAAAUACUUUCUCUGGAACGUUCGUCGUAAAAUAUGUGUAUCUUUGGAAUAAGUUGUCAGAACAUGAA